GACGAACGCUGGCGGCGUGCUUAACACAUGCAAGUCGAGCGGUAAGGCCCUUUCGGGGGUACACGAGCGGCGAACGGGUGAGUAACACGUGGGUGACCUGCCCUUAGCUCUGGGAUAAGCCUGGGAAACUGGGUCUAAUACCGGAUAUGACUCCAUAACGCAUGUUGUGGGGUGAAAGCCUUGUGCGGCUAGGGAUGGGCCCGCGGCCUAUCAGCUUGUUGGGUGGGGUGAUGGCCACCAAGGCGACGACGGGUAGCCGGCCUGAGAGGGCGACCGGCCACACUGGGACUGAGACACGGCCCAGACUCCUACGGGAGGCAGCAGUGGGGAAUCUUGCGCAAUGGGCGAAAGCCUGACGCAGCGACGCCGCGUGGGGA
rnacentral:rRNA from 1 species